UACGUAGGUGGCGAGCGUUGUCCGGAUUUAUUGGGCGUAAAGCGCGCGCAGGUGGUCCGUUAAGUCCUGUGUGAAAAUCUCCCGGCUCACCCGGGAGGGGGCGCGGGAUACUGGGGGACUGGAGGCAGGCAGAGGCCGGUGGAAUUCCCGGUGUAGUGGUGAAAUGCGUAGAGAUCGGGGGGAACACCCGUGGCGAAGGCGGCCAGCUGGGCCGGUCCUGACGCUGAGGCGCGAAGGCGUGGGGAGCGAACGGG
rnacentral:rRNA from 1 species